AGGCGGUUAGAUAAGUCUGAAGUUUAAAGGCUGUGGCUUUAACCAUAGUACGCUUUGGAAACUGUUUUAACCUGAGUGCAAGAGGGGAGAGUGGAAUUCCAUGUGUAGCGGUGAAAUGCGUAGAUAUAUGGAGGAACACCGGUGGCGAAAGCGGCUCUCUGGCUUGUAACUGACGCUGAGGCUCGAAAGCGUGGGGAGCAAACAGGAUUAGACUACCCUCCGGUAGUCCACGCCGU
rnacentral:rRNA from 1 species